CCUGUUAAGAGGCUGGGCUACUUAGCUCAAGCACAGCACUUGCAAAUAUAUUGAUUUGGGUUCAGGCUUACAGGUUUAUGGCUUCUAAUGUGUCAUUUAGCCUGUACACAUCUCUACAGACCUGUCCUGAGACAUUUAUAUGACUCCUCAUUAGUAUAAUAAGUCAUCAUAUCAUAAGCUCCUCUUCUCUCAUUUUCUUUCUCCUUGCCUUGCCUUUUCCUUUCUUUUUUUACAUUUGUACUCCUAACACCUUAUAAAUGUUUUGUUACGUGCACUAUCCUAUUACAUCCUUUGCACCAUUCAACAAGUGGGGAAGUUUGCAGUGUUGCAGCCUAACACUGGCAUUGCAGGCCUGGAGUCAGGCUGCACCAUAUUUGCUGAGCUGAAUGCACAUUGGUAGUCUCCUCAAACACAGUGGGCUCCGUCUGGCUGCUUAUAUUUCAGAUGCAGUAGAAGAUAAAGUAUCUGUCACUUACACAAAAAGAAUAGGAAGAGGAAGGAAAUAAGGUGAAAUGAAAUGCAUGAAAGCCCAUCUUUCUUCCAAUUAGAGGUCUUCAGCAGGCUUCUGGUGAUCAAUGUCCUCUUCACGAAAUUCUUUGGGUCUCACUAUGCCCUAAAGGGAUCAAAGUCCUGUUACUCUCUUCUCCAUCUUCUGAAAUGGCUGUUGAGGUGCAUAAGAGUGGUUUCC
rnacentral:lncRNA from 1 species